GGCGUCGAGCGGCGGACGGGUGAGUAAUGCAUAGGAAUCUGCCCGAUAGUGGGGGAUAACCUGGGGAAACCCAGGCUAAUACCGCAUACGUCCUACGGGAGAAAGCAGGGGAUCUUCGGACCUUGCGCUAUCGGAUGAGCCUAUGUCGGAUUAGCUAGUUGGUGAGGUAACGGCUCACCAAGGCCGCGAUCCGUAGCUGGUCUGAGAGGAUGAUCAGCCACAUCGGGACUGAGACACGGCCCGAACUCCUACGGGAGGCAGCAGUGGGGAAUAUUGGACAAUGGGCGAAAGCCUGAUCCAGCCAUGCCGCGUGUGUGAAGAAGGCUUUCGGGUUGUAAAGCACUUUCAGUGGGGAAGAAAUCCUCGGGGCCAAUACCCUCGAGGGAGGACAUCACCCACAGAAGAAGCACCGGCUAACUCCGUGCCAGCAGCCGCGGUAAUACGGAGGGUGCGAGCGUUAAUCGGAAUUACUGGGCGUAAAGCGCGCGUAGGCGGCGUGAUAAGCCGGUUGUGAAAGCCCCGGGCUCAACCUGGGAACGGCAUCCGGAACUGUCAGGCUAGAGUGCAGGAGAGGAAGGUAGAAUUCCCGGUGUAGCGGUGAAAUGCGUAGAGAUCGGGAGGAAUACCAGUGGCGAAGGCGGCCUUCUGGACUGACACUGACGCUGAGGUGCGAAAGCGUGGGUAGCAAACAGGAUUAGAUACCCUGGUAGUCCACGCCGUAAACGAUGUCGACUAGCCGUUGGGGUCCUUGUGACCUUUGUGGCGCAGUUAACGCGAUAAGUCGACCGCCUGGGGAGUACGGCCGCAAGGUUAAAACUCAAAUGAAUUGACGGGGGCCCGCACAAGCGGUGGAGCAUGUGGUUUAAUUCGAUGCAACGCGAAGAACCUUACCUACUCUUGACAUCGUGCGAACUUUCCAGAGAUGGAUUGGUGCCUUCGGGAACGCACAGACAGGUGCUGCAUGGCCGUCGUCAGCUCGUGUUGUGAAAUGUUGGGUUAAGUCCCGUAACGAGCGCAACCCUUGUCCCUAUUUGCCAGCGAUUCGGUCGGGAACUCUAGGGAGACUGCCGGUGACAAACCGGAGGAAGGUGGGGACGACGUCAGGUCAUCAUGGCCCUUACGAGUAGGGCUACACACGUGCUACAAUGGCCGGUACAAAGGGUUGCGAAGCCGCGAGGUGGAGCUAAUCCCGAAAAGCCGGUCUCAGUCCGGAUCGGAGUCUGCAACUCGACUCCGUGAAGUCGGAAUCGCUAGUAAUCGUGAAUCAGAAUGUCACGGUGAAUACGUUCCCGGGCCUUGUACACACCGCCCGUCACACCAUGGGAGUGGAC
rnacentral:rRNA from 1 species